CACGUUGAAACGCCGGUACCCGUAGGACCACUGAAGUUAAGCAACAUCGAGCCUGACCAGUACCUAGAUGGGUGACCCUUUGGGAAUACCAGGUACUGUAAG